rnacentral:rRNA from 1 species
GAUGAACGCUGACAGAAUGCUUAACACAUGCAAGUCGAUGGGGAAGUGGUGCUUGCACCAUGGUAACCAUGGCGGACGGGUGAGUAACACGUAAGGAACUUACCUGCGGGACCGGGAUAACAGCAGGAAACUGCUGACAAGACCGGAUAAGGUCAUUAAGCUGCAUAGCUUAGUGAUGAAAGGAGACGCCUGCGGAGAGCCUUGCGUCCUAUUAGCUAGUUGGAGGGGUAACGGCCCACCAAGGCGAAGAUAGGUAGCCGGCCUGAGAGGGUGGACGGCCACUAGGGGACUGAGAUACGGCCCUUACUCCUACGGGGGGCAGCAGUGGAGAAUAGUGGACAAUGGGGGCAACCCUGAUCCAGCAAUUCUGUGUGCACGAAGACGGUUUUCGGAUUGAAAAGUGCUUGCAGCAGGGAAGAAGGAAGUGACGGUACCUGCAGAAGAAGCGACGGCUAAAUACGUG